GUUGCUGCUGUUGCAAUUGCUGCUGCUGCUGCAAUUGCUGCUGUUGCUGCAACUGCUGUAAUUGUUGCUGCUGUAACUGUUGUUGUUGCUGCUGCUGCUGC
rnacentral:sRNA from 1 species